GAUGAGGCGGCAGGCGGAUGCACUCGCUGUCUUCUCAGCAGCUUUCCUGCCUGAAACCCAGCGGAGAGCUGGGCAGCUAUUGUUUCAAAUUACACUUUCUGUGACAGAGGUCAUCCGCCUGACCUAGGCCUUCCCCGAAAACAAAACACCCUUGUCAUUUCCAUAUGAAGAAAGUUGAAAGAAGGAUACAGCAAACACCUGCAUAUUUGUUCUAUGAGUAAGCUGCAGGUGUCAUGACAUUCACCCCUCAACGUCAGGAGUGAGGAGGGCCUCCGUGAGGGACUGCAUGGCACCGUCUUUGCUCACUGGUGCUAGCAGGGUCUGCGGGCUGUCCGUCACUUUACAUCACCAUGCGCUGUGGAGCACCCGCACCUGCAGAAACCUGUGUCUUCUGAGCGAGUCCCUUCCUCGGCGCACUGCACUGCGCGCGCUCGAAUGUGGGCUCUUCCCUCCUGGGCACCCAGCAGCUGCCUCUGUGACUCCACCGCGAAUCACCACAGACUACCCCGGGGUACUCUCUCUAACAUCAUCUUCCCGAUAACCGUGCGGUGUGAGAAGCGGGCACCAGCAGCGUGAGACAGUCGCUGGCCGCGCGUGCCCGGCAGCAGGCCUCACGUGCUGUCCUAAACGGGCUCCGUAACCUUCCACGACGGACCCAUGCGAGAGCAAUGCUACCGCAGGCUAACGGCGUUCGCCAGAGCGGAGCUUCCACGGCAUCUCAUCGAUGUUACACAUAAUAACUCGGGAUAAGACGUUACUGGAGGACCUGCUGCACUUCGAAGCCCAAUGAACAUACUUGUAUCCUAGCAACAAACUGAACAUAUUAGCUGUUCAAUAUUUCAUUGACAGCAACUCAUUUGCCUUAUAUAAGAGAGUUUUGUAACCAAUAAACUUUUCUGAUGUUUUUUUCUUAAUAUUU